rnacentral:rRNA from 1 species
AGUCGAACGGACCGAAAAGAAGCCGAGAUUUCGAUUGAAGCGACUCAAGGUUAGUGGCGAACGGGUGAGUAACACGUGAACAACCAACCAUAUAGACCGGGACAACUGACGGAAACGACGGCUAAUACCGGAUAAGCUCCAGAGAGGGCAUCCUCAGAGGAGAAAAGUAGGCCUCUCUAAAGAAGCACGCGCUAUAUGACGGAUUCGCGGCUGAUUAGCUAGAUGGUGAGAUAAAAGCCCACCAUGGCGACGAUCAGUAGCCGGCCUGAGAGGGUGAACGGCCACAAUGGGACUGAGACACGGCCCAUACUCCUACGGGAGGCAGCAGUGGGGAAUAUUGCGCAAUGGGGGGAACCCUGACGCAGCAACGCCGCGUGAACGAAGAAGGCCCUCGGGUUGUAAAGUUCUGUCAAGAGGGAAGAAGUCCAUAUGGUAAAGAGCCAUAAGGGUGACGGUACCGAU